rnacentral:misc_RNA from 1 species
GGAAACUUGCAUUUUUAUAUAUGAUUAAUAGUAUUUAUUAUGUAUAUGUAGUAGAUAUUAAACCCCUUUUGUUUUUUUCGUGUGUUUAGUUGGAGUUGGCUUACAGUUAAGUGUAAAGUUAUGCUUAUUUUUGUUGAGGUUGAUUGGUUGGGGUUAAGUUAAAGCUAGUAACUGCUUAGUAUGGAAAUUUUCUUAUGUUUGUUGACAUCUAGAGGAUUUCCCUAUUCGUUGAGGUGAUAUAGAUCUUUAGUAGCUGCAAUUAGUGUUCAAAGUUUCGAUCUUUACAAUUUUGGCUGUAAUUCAUUUUGGUAUAGGAGGAUGUGUUGCACUGAUUAAGCUGGAAAGUUGCGUUGCAUUAAUAACUUGAUCGGAGUACCUGUUUGUCUGAAAGGUGAGGUAGGGAGAUCCAUAGGGAUGAUUUGGUUGGUUCUGUUGUUGUUAUUAUCACAAGGGAAUGGGAAAGGAGGAGUGGAAGCUUCUGAAUACUUAAUUGGGCUUGGAAGCUAUGAUAUAACUGGGCCGGCUGCUGAUGUCAACAUGAUGGGAUAUGCUAACAUGGAGCAGAUUGUGUCGGGUGUUCACUUCAGGUUGCGAGCUCGUACCUUCAUUGUAGCUGAACCUCAAGGGAAGCGUGUUGUUUUCGUGAACCUUGAUGCUUGCAUGGCCUCACAGAUUGUAACCAUCAAAGUUCUUGAGAGAUUGAAGGCUAGGUAUGGGAAUCUUUACACCGAAAAAAAUGUUGCUAUUAGUGGCAUUCACACCCAUGCUGGCCCUGGUGGUUAUCUACAAUACGUAGUAUAUAUCGUAACAUCUCUUGGUUUUGUCCGUCAAUCAUUUGAUGCUGUAGUUAAUGGGAUUGAGCAAAGUAUUAUACAAGCUCAUGAAAACCUCCGACCUGGAUCAAUAUUUGUCAAUAAAGGGGAGCUACUGGAUGCUGGUGUGAAUCGUAGCCCUAGUGCUUAUUUGAAUAAUCCUGCUGGAGAACGUGGUAAAUAUAAGUACAAUGUUGACAAAGAAAUGACCCUUCUAAAGUUUAGUGAUGAUGAAUGGGGACCAGUAGGCAGCUUUAAUUGGUUUGCAACUCAUGGAACUUCU